ACCAGUAUCAGUUCAUAGAAUUUUGCUGAGGUAAUCAUUUUCCUCAGGAAGCAAGUGUGACUAUCAAUUUGUGUUGCAUAUCUUUUAAAUUUGGGUAUCAAAGUCCCUAACUCAAGAAAAGUUUUUUGUUUGUUGGCUAGUUUUUUUUAAUGAAAGAUGAAGAAGAUCCAAUUUCGAAAGGAUCAUUAUCAACAUUAAAACGCCCUCAAAAGUAGGUAAAAGCUAGCUAAUUGCAUGUAAGAAUGACUUUGACCCCUCUAUUAAAUGCUUCUUUCAGAAAAAUACAGGAUAGUGUAUUCGAAUCACUGUAUUAUUACUUGCAAAUAAAACGUCAACUGCUGUUUAUGAUUGAAUGAAUGGAACAAUGAACCCAUAUAACAAAUGCCAAAGCACCAAUCUUAACAGUGUUAUUGUUUUUGUUGUUUGUUUGUUCAAUAUACUUACCAGUAAACAAAGUCUCAACUUCAAACAAAAAUAUAUUGUUGGCACAGCAAAUGGUUCUUUAUUUCUCAAAGAUAGAUUCAUGCCCAAAUUACUGGUCUUCAUUUGUGUGAUGGACAUUCAUUGUAAGAUUUUAUUGGUAGUGUUAAUGAAGACCAAAACCAAUCGACACAGGUCAGUCAUUGUGCAUAGAGAUGGUACCGUGAUUGCAAUCACGAAAAGUCAUUGUAAUUUGAGGAUCACCAGUCAUAGUUACUGUGACUUUCAAAUGACGCCUAUUUUUGCAUUUUUUGUUGUUUUUCCUCCAAAAAUGAAACUUGAUGCUUUCGUGAAAUGCUAAGGGCGAUUUCAUGAUAAAAAGGAUAAUCGUAAUAGACUUAAGGCAAAACGAUUGAAAAUCAAGUCGAUAAAUCAAUAUGAAUGAUAUCCCUGAACUUAUCCAUCAACUAAAGUAUGAUAAAUUAUGAUUGACUUUAAUAAUAUAAGACUUGAGGGCCGAAAAUGGCCGGUCGGUUACACGUUGCCAACCCCAAUUUUGAAGCAAAAGCAAUUUGCGUUAGUAAAUAACAAUAAUAAUAUAUUUUUAUUUGUAAAUGCACAUUUUUCAACAGCUAGAACAAAUAUGUCUGGGUUAGUGAGGAUGGAAGAAAAAAAAGAGAAGAAAGGAAAAGAGAAUGCAGAUUUUUUAAAAAAGGGCUUAUGCUAAAUACUCUUCUUCACUCUAAAAACAUUUGGCAGUAAACAAUUUUUUUAAAAGAUUAAGAAAAUUCGAGUCCCUGUAUUUACUUUUUAGUUCAGAGGGGAGCUUUUCAAAAAGGAUUUGGCCACGCCUUAGAGAGUGACUGUUCUUGGUGGCAUUUGUAAAGGCGUGGAAUCUGGUGUUGAUUUUACUGAGAGCCACUGGAGCUAAAGAGGUUUCAACUAUAAA
rnacentral:lncRNA from 1 species